rnacentral:lncRNA from 1 species
ACCCACAAACACUCAAGACUUCACUCCCAGCGCUUACCUGCAGCUCUCAGCCGGAAUACACCCGCAAACAUGAGCUUCUUGAAGGGAGGUCUGGAUGGACAGGUGGAGAAGGUCAUCGAUCAGGCAGCUGACGUUGCCAAAGAGAAAGUCGGCAGUCUGAUCGGUGGAGGAGAAAAGAAGGACAAGAAACAGGGAGGAGGAGGAGCAGGAGGAGCUGGUAUUGGCAAUAUGGUGAGCGGAGCAAUUAACAAAGCUGCUGCUGAUGUUGCUGCAGACAAAGCAGCCGACAAGGUGAUGUCUAUUGGGAAGAACCUACUGGGAUGAUCCAUCAUCUUCUUCACGCAAUCAUCUGCGCACCGGAACAGAAAUUAAGAGUUAUAUAUUUACAGUAUGUCCUGUGUGAUGAAAUUAUUAAAACUACUUUGUUUUUGAUUUACAUGAGUGUGGGUCUACUUUUUUAGGUAUUUGUUUUGUCAACUCAAACCACCUGUAAAUAAAGCUGAUUUUAAUUC